rnacentral:rRNA from 1 species
UGGGUGAAAGAAAACCAGCAAGUGGGUCCAAAGGAAUUACAGAAGAACAUCAAAGAUAAGUUCAAGAUAGAUUUACCAUACAUGAGGUUGUUCAAUGGUAAACAACAUGCUAUGGAUUCUAUUUAUGGUAACUGGCAGGAAAGUUUUCAAUUGUUGUAUUCAUUCAAAACUGAAGUGGAGAGGACAAGCCCAGGUAGUAUUGUAGAUAUUGAUCACCACACCGUGGAGUACACAUUCAGGGGAGUGACAAAGACCAAGGAAUGCUUUAGGAGGGUUUUUGUCUGCUUUGAGGCUUGUCGCCGGGGUUUUUUGGCAGGCUGCAGGCCUUAUUUGGCUAUUGAUGCCACUUUUCUCACAGGGAGGUUUAAAGGACAAUUAGUAGCAGCUUUUGCAGUUGAUGCACACAAUUUUGUAUUUCCAGUUGCCUACGGUGUGCUGGAGACAAAGUCUGAGGAGAGCUGGACUUGCUUUUUGCAUAAUCUACGCCGGGCUAUUGCACAUCCCAAUGGGUUGGCCAUUCAUACAGAUGCCUGCAAAGGUUUAGAAGUGGCUGUGGACAAUGUGUUCCCUGGAGUAGAGCAUAGGAAAUGCAUGCGUCACCUUGCUGCAAAUUUCAUGAAGAAAUUCAAAGGAAAGGUGUAUACCGGCAAUUUAUGGCCAGCAUCUUUGACUUGUAGUGUGAAGAAGCACAACUACCACUUGAGGCAGUUAUACAUGAAUCCCAAAGUGAAAGAAUACUUGGAAACACACCACUCCAAGUUAUGGGCCAGAAGCCAAUUCAGUGAAGUGAGCAAAGUUGACUAUGUGCACAAUAAUCUAGCAGAGUCUUUCAACUCAACGAUCCAGAAA